GAGAUACUCCUUCUGUUCGGAAUUAUUUGUCUUGAAAAUGAAUGUAUCUAGAACUAAAAUACAUCUAGAUACAUCCAUUUUCGCGACAAGUAAUUCUGAACGGAGGGAGUAGAAU
rnacentral:pre_miRNA from 1 species